UGGAUGGAGUCUGGUUACUGUAGAAAUCUUGUUGUCGGAGAAGCUCGGAUAUUGACGAAGUCCGGAAGAAGUUCGGAGUAGGGUCGUCCGCGGUCGGAAGAAGUCCGAAAGGGAUUCGGAGAAUAGUUGAUCACUGUAGAAGGUCGGCUGAUAGUGAGGCCCAGAGAGCUUUUGGAGCGGCCCGGUAGAUGAAUGGAGAAGCUCAUUGUCGAAGAAGUCCGGACGGUAUUAUGGAAGCUCGGACGGUCGAGGGGGUUCAGAAAGAUGCCACAUAAGGUCGGAAGCCGGAACAAUCUUGGAAGGAUCGGUUUUUUACAAACUUCGACUGGGGGUAUUUUAUACCCAACACCAGUCCCCCUACUUCUGAGUUCGGAUUUCGAAUGAAGGAAGUACAGAAAAAUUCUCACAACUGAAGUUGCCUCCCUCGAUUUCCGUACUCGAUGGUUGCCAGAUAUUUUGGCGUUUGGCGCACUGGUGCCGGAGUCUUUUCAAAUCAAAGCGAUCUGAAAAGAUUUUUUUAGAAUUCCCGUCGGGGCGUGGCUCUAGGUACGGCGUAAUAAUGAUUUUGUCAGCUGUCAGCCGUUUUCAGCUGCCUGCCAUGGUGAGUGGGCCACGCGGCGGUUAUAGAUCGGUCAGAGGAGACCUGCAACUAUUAUUGCAUCGGACCCCGUCGCCUAUUUAAACCUGCCUCCCCCCUUCGGGGAUCUCACUUUGCACGGGAGUUCCUUCGGUCCCUCCUUUCUGAGAGUUUCGUCCUUCCUCAGCAUCCUUCUCGGCCUUCGGCGUUCUUCGAGUCGUCUCCAUCUCUGCCUCUCUGCAUCCCUCAUACCAGCCUAGAUAUGGAUGCGGAUGCGGCUUGGAUGUCAGCCAAGAGUCUCAAAGCCCACAAGAGGGAAGGCGCUGUAACUUCCGGGUUGGCGAAGAAGGCGAGGGUAGAAGAGACAGAUCCGGCCGUGUUUCGCCUUGAUCACCUAGAGCCCACGCUUGUGGCACAUCUUCGACCGCAAGUACUUCUCGAUCCUGCGGAAGGGGGAAGCCGAAGGGAGACUGGAAGAAGAAGUCAGAAAGAAAAAGAAAUCCGAUCUCAGAAAGAAGGUCAUGCCUGCCGUCAUUGUGAGGCAGCGGAAGCCAUGGUGCAAAAAGGAUGGCGUCUACAUGUACUUUGAAGAUAAUGUUGGAGCAAUUGUUAAUCCAAAUGGGGACUGGAAGAAGAAGUUGGGUACUUAAAGCAAUCCUCGACGAUGGCUGAAAUCGAGAGUUCGAAGUUUGAUGAUACCGAGCUUCCUUGGAGCUCUUUUGCCUUGUAUUCCUUUCCUUUCUUGUUGUUUCUCUUUUUUGGCCUUCAAGGCUUUGUAAUGUACACUUCACUAAUGAAAUGAAAAGAAAAUUUUUUAU